UCAGGACGAACUGGAAAACCGUUCCACUGAUGGCCACUGGAUGGCGAUCUGGUUCCAUGAAUAGGUUCUGGGAAGAGUGAAUGAAGCACACUAUGGCAAGCCAAAGAAAAGGACACGUGUGUAGAAUUAGAGGUCUUAAGCGAGCGGAUGGGCAGAGAAGAUUAAAGCAGAGCACACACACCAUCUGGGAAACGUCUCACGCCAGUCAGUGGCAUGCUGCUUAAAGCACAAAUGCACAAACGUAAACUGGCAUUGGACCAGUGAAGUAUGAGGACGAAAGAAUCCAGCAAACUAGUAGGUCUAAAUCCAAUCCAACAUUUCUUCUACAGUAUAUCACUUUAACUAAUACAGUCGCAUGAAUGAAUGACUACACCAGCUACUUUACAACUUGAUAAAAAUGUCAACACAUUGAAGUGUUGACUUCUAUAUUCACUGACCUCACAGACAGUUCAAGGAAAGAGCUAACACUGUCUACACCAAUCCUGCCCUUCGCGAAAGGGUCCUGCUCCUGAUUGGCCGUCAUCAGCCCAACACUGCAUGCCAAGACGCCACACAUGUCCACAGACAUCAGAAAGCAUGGGGUUCAAAACUCUUCAAACCCCAUGUCGGCACUGGAAGCCAUAAUGAGGUCACAUCGUUCUACCCCUUGACCUUACCGGACACCAACUGGACUGACCCGCAGACCAAAGAUUGGUGCCACUGAAGCACUCGGUCCAGGAUUCCUGCCUCAGGCAAUUUGAACAAACAAGGUCAGCCAGUGGGAGUCAUCUGUUAUUGUAGUUUGUAAUCAAAGAAAGUCCAAAUGCUCCAUGAAAGAAGACUUAAUGCUAAUCAGGCAAUUUGCAGUCAUCUAUCCAAUUAACUUCACUGUAUACUAUACAAACAUCAGUCAGCAAAUGUGCGUGACAGGAGAAGCAUAAAAAUUGCUGCUCUUUAAAUUGUUGUUCUAUUUAGCAGCGCCUCAUUUCUUUCUGGGUUAGUGUUUUAAAGAGAUAGCUAACCAUUGGGUCGUUCCAAACCCAUACAACCUUUUUCUUCCAUGGAUCACAAAUAGAUUUUUUUUUUUUUGACUUCAGAAUGCAUCUUUUUCAGUAUAAUGAAAAUGGAAGAUCAGAGCUCUAAAAAAGAAGGGAUGCACCAAUAUCAAUAUUUUGGGCAACAACAAUAAGCCAAAAAUCACUGGUUAUGGCCAAUAAUAAAAGUCUACUAAACUAAACUAUUUUUAAUAAUAAUAAAAAAAAUUAAACUAACUUACAUUUAAGUAUUUUUAAAUUAGUAAAUGAGUGUUAAGUUUGAAAUGAGCGUGCAAAAUUAAAUAUCAUAUACAAGUGGUUCUCAAAUAGGGGCCACAGCAAACAAGGGGACCACAGAAUGACUUAAAGGCAUUAAAAUAAGAAAUUAUUACUGAUAUUAAAAAUAAAGUAAUGACAACUGUUUAAUGAUUGCCCUGUCAAUGAGUUUUAUUAAAGAACAUGCAGUUCUAUAAAACACACGGGAAUCACAAAAUGAACUGGUUAAUUUAAUACUCCCAGCUCUGAUUAAUAAUAAUAAUAAUAAUAAAAAGUCUGAAAAUUAGCAAAUUUUUGUAUAUGGG
ensembl:lncRNA